CCUACGGGGGGCUGCAGUGGGGAAUAUUGGACAAUGGGGGCAACCCUGAUCCAGCCAUGCCGCGUGUGUGAAGAAGGCCCGCGGGUUGUAAAGCACUUUCAGUGAGGAAGAACGCCUGGUGGUUAAUACCCAUCAGGAAAGACAUCACUCACAGAAGAAGCACCGGCUAACUCCGUGCCAGCAGCCGCGGUAAUACGGAGGGUGCGAGCGUUAAUCGGAAUUACUGGGCGUAAAGCGCGCGUAGGUGGCUUGAUAAGCCGGUUGUGAAAGCCCCGGGCUCAACCUGGGAACGGCAUCCGGAACUGUCAAGCUAGAGUGCAGGAGAGGAAGGUAGAAUUCCCGGUGUAGCGGUGAAAUGCGUAGAGAUCGGGAGGAAUACCAGUGGCGAAGGCGGCCUUCUGGACUGACACUGACACUGAGGUGCGAAAGCGUGGGUAGCAAACAGGAUUAGAUACCCCGGUAGUC
rnacentral:rRNA from 1 species